AGGGAAUUUACUGGGCAGGCAGGUUACAAAGCUCUGUCGUGAUCAGUCAGGGUGACAGAUAUAUUUUAGACUUUUGUUAGUAACUUUGGCAUAAAAAGAUGGUGUUGAGGAAAUUUUUUCAUGAUAUCCAGUCGGUACCUAUUGCUGAUGCAGAAUGGGAAGAAAUUACUUACAGGAAGAAAUGAAUGACCUCAAAGUUUGGACUAAUAGAAGCAGGCUGGAAGUUCAUGGACUGAAGUGCGAGAUCAUGCACUUUGGGAUCUCUGAUAAGCUCUGAUAUAAACAGGAGCUUGUGGUUGGAAACAGUGGAAGAAGGGACAUACCUAAGUACUAGGAGUUCACUGGAUAGCUGGUAGCCAGCACUAUGUUUCAGGCACAAAAGGCAAAUGGAAUUUGUGAUUGAUCAUGUCUUCCCAGCUCAAAUCAGUAAGUAAUUUUGCCUGACAAGGCAUGAUGAAGCUAUAUCUGAGUGCCAUGUAUAACUCCAAUUUUUCAUGUUGAAAAAAGGGCAAAUUAAGAUUCCAUAAGUCCACAAAAGAGUUGCUGGGAUCAUGGGAAUAAUAAGCUUUUCUAUAAGAGGAAACUAAAUUUGCCAUAGUUUAUUUAGCCUAGCAAAAUGAAAUUUGAGCUGUGAUUUAUAUCCAUGGGAGAAAAUAUCAGAAAAGCAGUGCUUUUUAAAAGACAACAGUUGAAGACAAACAAAUUGAUAUAAACGGUUCUUGAGGAAAUAUGAGCUGCAGCUUAGAUUUCUAACUAGCAGAAGAGCCAUAUUCUGGAACAAAUAGUGACAUGGAACGAGAACAACUAACAGGUGUUACUAUGGAUCACCAUCCCUUUAGUAGAAGGGUAGUUCACUUUCCUGUGGCUGAAGCUGAUGGUAUGACCCAAAUGAAGCUUAUGGAGAAGCUUCAUAAUUUUUUACUUCAUCCUAAGUUAUUUUUGUUUGAUCAGUGCUUGAAUGGCAGUUUUGUAAGGAGUGUGUAGAAAUUGCACCAGAUUUUAUUUUUUAUUGUGAUUAAAUUGGUGAUGCCUUAACAUAUUUUCACUGUAGUAGGUUGAAUCUUCAUGCUGUAGGGAAAACUACCCUUUCUGGAAAGCCACAAAAUUUACCAAUCCUUAUAGUUUUGCAAGUGAAGGCAUUAAAGCUGCAUAAAAGUCAUCUGUCAUUAUCCUGCUGAAAGAUUAGCGAAUCAGUGUGCAGAGCUUGAAGAUGCUUUACAGUGUCAUCAUGUAUUCCAAAUUUCAUUGUCAUAAUUUAUCUUUCUAGAACACUCAUUUUCACACCAAUUAUUAGUACAAAUGGCAUACUUAUUCCACUUAAUGCAUUUAGAUUGACAAGAGGUUUGUACUUUCCAAUAAAGAAAAUAUUUUAAAUUCCCAGUUUAACUUGUGUUUGUAACUUACUUUAAGUACCUUUGUUAAAGGCCCUUCUCUACUUCCAUCUCUGAGAACCCAAGGACAGAAGAUAUCAUGAAACCUGAGUAAUUUUCUGUGCAUGAAAAAAACUCUCUUUACUUUUACACAGACAAAAUCUUGUUGAUAAACUUGUCAACAUGUUCAUGGUCUAAUCAGAACGACAAAGUAUUCAAAGAAGAAUCUUUCUGCCUCCUAAUGUCCUGAAAAUUGCAGGGGUUUUGUGAAAGAAUUUCUACAUUCAUUUUUCAUAGUUCUUCCAUGAUUUUGGGAAUCCUGAUUGUAUUUCCCCUUGAUCUUCUGUCCACAUAGUUUCUCUGCCCUGUCUCCUUUAGGUUUCAGGUAUCAUCUUCUCUGCUGACAUGAGCUUCAUUCCUUCCUUCUCCCAUGACUUGUUUGUCUUCAAAGCCACAGCCCAAAUAUGAAGGUGUAUAUAAGCUCUUUGCUGAAUCUGUCCAGGGUGGAGACAUAGCAAAUCUUGAACUGGAAGAUGCUGCAGAGUUCCUGAGUUCCAGGACAUUGAGAACUAAAUGCCAACUGAACCAUAAAGAGUAUUUCAGAAGAAUUCCUCAGAACCACCUUCUAAUGAGGGUUUCAGAAUGGAGUGAGAGGCCACUGUUUAAGUAGUGUGUGAAUGCUCUUACCUCAGUGGAUCCAGUGAAAGCAAUUUUAUCAAUGCCAACAUGAGAAGCUAUGGCUGCACCAACA